rnacentral:rRNA from 1 species
GACGAACGCUGGCGGCGCGCUUAACACAUGCAAGUCGAACGGAAAGGCCUGCUUUCCCUUGUGGAUUGCGGGUACUCGAGUGGCGAACGGGUGAGUAACACGUGAGUGAUCUGCCCCCAACUUGGGUAUAAGCCUGGGAAACUGGGUCUAAUUCCCGAUAGGACUGCAGGGUGGUGCCUGUGGUGGAAAACGAUUUUCUAGUGGUUGGGGAUGAGCUCGCGGCCUAUCAGCUUGUUGGUGGGGUAAUGGCCUACCAAGGCGGCGACGGGUAGCCGGCCUGAGAGGGUGGACGGCCACAUUGGGACUGAGAUACGGCCCAGAAUCCUACGGGAGGCAGCAGUGGGGAAUAUUGCACAAUGGGCGGAAGCCUGAUGCAGCGACGCCGCGUGGGGGAUGACGGCCUUCGGGUGGUAAACUCCUUUCGACCGCGAGGAAGCCACCUGGUUGGAAGGGUGGUGACGGUAGUGGUAGAAGAAGCACCGGCUAACUACGUG